rnacentral:rRNA from 1 species
GAUAAACGCUGGCGGCGCACAUAAGACAUGCAAGUCGAACGGACCAAACCAUAAGUUUACUUUUGGAGAGGUUAGUGGCGGACUGGUGAGUAACACGUAAGUAACCUGCCUAUCAGAGGGGAACAACAGUUAGAAAUGACUGCUAAUACCGCAUAUGCCAUAACCAUCGCAUGGUGGAAGUGGGAAAGGAGAAAUCCGCUGAUAGAUGGACUUGCGACUGAUUAGAUAGUUGGUGGGGUAAAGGCCUACCAAGUCGACGAUCAGUAGCCGAACUGAGAGGUUAAACGGCCACAUUGGGACUGAGAUACGGCCCAG